CCUCCUUCCCUGCCCUCAUUCACGAAACACUCACACACACAAAAAAAAAAAAAAAAAAAAAAAAAAAAAAAAGAGAUAACGCUGCCCAGUCACAACCACCGAGCACCACCACCACCGUUGCCCAGCCUGCUGCCACCGCCUGCCCGCAGCCGCCCAGCCGCCCAGCACGACCGUGCCCAGCCGGAGAGGACUUCAUAGAAGGUGACUUCUAGCUUUAAGGUGGCCAAUCAAUUUGUUUACUCAAGGUGAUUUCAUAGUCAUUUGGAGCUUUCGAAGUGUUUGGAGUUGAUUAGGAUGAUAUUUGGAUGGAAGCCGAUGAAUUGAGUAUAUUAGUUGAAGAUCCCAUGUUCGUGGAUGUUGAUUUUGAUUGUUGUGUGCAUGGAAUAUGAACAUAGCAUUCAUAAGGGUUACAAUGUGCCUUUCCGAAUUGAAUUUGAGUUGAAAACGAAGUUAAACGAUGGUUUACAAAGUGUCAAAACUGACCUUUGUUCACUCUUUUGAUCAUAACUUGAGUUCUACAGAUCGGAUUGAAGUAAUUCAAGCUGCAUUGGAAACUAGGCUUGAAGAGAUUUUCAACGGUAGGUCACACGCCUAUAUACAACUUAUGCAUCAGAAUUUACAAGCCUGUGAAGUCGACACAAUGCCCAACAACGAGUGAGCGAGAGCUCCCGAGCUAGCUCGCAUGUGCCGAGAGGAACACCAGCCCUGAGCGAUAGCUCACUCGACCAGGGAGCUAUAGCUCCAACUGACCCACGACAGCAGCAAGCAAGGGGCAUCACAACACGUCUUUCGCUUGGCCCUCGAUUCCAUCGAGCAUCUUCGUGCCACGUCAUCUUCUAUCGUCCAAUCGUUUGACAACUUGUGUAAUUUAUAUUUUCUUAUUUCUUUUCUUCAUUUAUUUUUAGAUUAGAAUUCCAGGGAAUUAUAAAUACUCAAGGAGACUUAUUUUCUCCUUAUGCUUUUAUUAUUGUUUUACGUUCGUUUUAGUAUCUCCCUGGCCAUAGUUUCUCUUGGCCAAUUCCAUGAAUUCCUCCAUGGAUUGCUCUUGAGUUUGUGACAUUAAUUCAAUAAGGUAUUUUAUUUCUCUUUUUACUA